GCCUAACACAUGCAAGUCGAGCGCCUCGCAAGAGGAGCGGCAGACGGGUGAGUAACACGUGGGAAUCUACCCAUCCCUACGGAACAACUCCGGGAAACUGGAGCUAAUACCGUAUACGCCCUUCGGGGGAAAGAUUUAUCGGGGAUGGAUGAGCCCGCGUUGGAUUAGCUAGUUGGUGGGGUAAAGGCCUACCAAGGCGACGAUCCAUAGCUGGUCUGAGAGGAUGAUCAGCCACAUUGGGACUGAGACACGGCCCAAACUCCUACGGGAGGCAGCAGUGGGGAAUAUUGGACAAUGGGCGCAAGCCUGAUCCAGCCAUGCCGCGUGAGUGAUGAAGGCCUUAGGGUUGUAAAGCUCUUUCACCGAUGAAGAUAAUGACGGUAGUCGGAGAAGAAGCCCCGGCUAACUUCGUGCCAGCAGCCGCGGUAAUACGAAGGGGGCUAGCGUUGUUCGGAAUUACUGGGCGUAAAGCGCACGUAGGCGGAUAUUUAAGUCAGGGGUGAAAUCCCGCAGCUCAACUGCGGAACUGCCUUUGAUACUGGGUAUCUUGAGUAUGGAAGAGGUUAGUGGAAUUGCGAGUGUAGAGGUGAAAUUCGUAGAUAUUCGCAGGAACACCAGUGGCGAAGGCGGGCUAACUGGUCCAUAACUGAACGCUGAGGUGCGAAAAGCGUGGGGAGCAAACAGG
rnacentral:rRNA from 1 species